rnacentral:tRNA from 1 species
UGCGGGGUGGAGCAGCUUGGCAGCUCGUCGGGCUCAUAACCCGGAGGUCGCAGGUUCAAAUCCUGCCCCCGCAACCA